rnacentral:rRNA from 1 species
AUGGUUAGAAGUGAAACCCUUGAGAGCUGGCUCAGCACUACAGAAGUGAGAUUCACAACUGUCCUGAACGCAGUCGAGUGCACCUUUGAAAUCGAGCUCAUUGAGGGGCUUUUUAAAGGAAAUAUAACAGUUGGCAUCGCGGAUAAAGCUCGCAAGCUGGACAAUGAACAACCGAUUGUGAUUCAUGAUAGCACAGCCGAUGGCGUGGUUACAAGUAAUGAAAGUGGAGUUAUCAAACUCCGGCGAAGUGUCAUUACUAUCUGUCUGGAAAGAACGGUGAUGUUUCACAUAGAUAAUGAGGCUGCUGGUGUUUGUGCUGAACGAACCUUUGAUUUCACUCCACGCCGCACUGGUGCAGAUGAAUUGGAAAUUACGUGUGGUGCUGGGAAGUUCGGAUUCAAGGUCGUCUGGUCCUUGAUGGACUUCAGGCUGUAA